AUAUGACUUGACCUGAAAGCAGAAGAAAAUAAGUUCCGAAUGAUAAGAGAUAUAAUAUACGUCACAUUUUACAAGCAUAAACAGAAAUGAAAGUGUAGUCAAUAUCAGUGCAAGACGCAUUAAUCUAGGCAUCAAAUUAACUAUAAGCCUAUGGAACAGAGAUUCUUCAAGCACUUGGUACAACACUACAAUGCCUCAAUUUUCGAAGUUAUGCAUCACAUCCUGAACAUUUAUCAAACCAAUAUUAGCAUGAUUUUAGAUCUGUAAGACACCCCCCGUUAAGUUGGAGCAUAUAAUUUUACCACCUUCAACUAUUAUGCAAAUGGAAUUUUAGUAACAUAGUCCAUUAGUAUCAACCCAAAAAAUUGAUAGACAACCUUACUGAAAAAUACUAUAACAAACAUAAGGUUCAUCAGUAAGGCAUGUGUGGACAGGAACUUAAAAAAAGCUUCUCGUAUCCUCAAAGAAAGCCUUAGCUUAUAAAAGAAGAUAACAAAAAUGGUUGAACAAUCAAUUAAGCAUGUUACUUCAUUCUUUUUGUUUGUAGACUUUAUGAGGAAUGGAAAUCUACAUCCGUAUUCAACCAAAGUUGUACAAAUCUUUAAGAUGAUCAUUCAGACUUGCUCCAACCUAGACUAUAACCUCAAAUAAAUAAGACACUCAUGAACUAUCCUUGGAAGAAAUGGAAAUCUGCUAAUACAAAUUACGUAAAAAUAGUGAGAUGAAUUUCAAACCUUCAAUAGUGGCGUUUGACGCUUUCUAACCUGCAAAUAAUUUCAAGAAUUACUAUAAAAAAACAAGUAAAAUGGAAACCAAUAUUUCUAAAUGAUAGAAGAGGAGGAAAAGAUAAAAGGUGAAAUAAUGCAAAUGACAACAACCACAAUAACAAGAAGAAUUAAUCUGAACAUAAUCAACUGGCUUUUUCAUCUCAUGAUUGAGGGAAUUUAAAAUCACACUAAAAGUUGCAACACUAACCGCCUAUUAUAACGUAAAAACUAAUCUAACCUCAUUCAGAAUUUGGCAACACAUUUACUAAAACUGUAAAAUUUCAUGGGUAAAAAAAUUAAAAAGCUAGAAAAAAAAAAGAUAAAAAAUUGUUCAAGAGACAGAAAUGAAAGAAAACACUUCCCCUUCCCAUUCGUAGGGAAGAGGUAUCUCAGAAUAUUUCAACAUAGGGACAACAACAUCAAAAUUGCAUCUCAUGUUGUGUUCCUGUCCGGAAUUCCAACUAGCAAUAAUAUUCAUUUGUGUAGUAUUUUG
rnacentral:misc_RNA from 1 species